rnacentral:tRNA from 1 species
GGUUCCAUAGAGCAGCGGUGAGCCCGUCUGCUUUACACGCAGAAGGUCCUGGGUUCACACCCCAGGGGACCCA